rnacentral:rRNA from 1 species
UACGUAGGGUGCAAGCGUUGCCCGGAAUCACUGGGCGUAAAGGGCGCGUAGGCGGUGGCUUAAGCGUGUGGUGAAAGCUCGGGGCUCAACCCCGAGUCGGCCGUGCGAACUGGGUCACUGGAGCAGAUCAGAGGCAGGCGGAAUUCCGGGUGUAGCGGUGGAAUGCGUAGAGAUCCGGAAGAACACCGGUGGCGAAGGCGGCCUGCUGGGAUCUUGCUGACGCUGAGGCGCGACAGCGUGGGGGAGCAAACAGG